rnacentral:snRNA from 1 species
CUUGAUAUCACCGAUUUCGGGGA